rnacentral:rRNA from 1 species
UACAGAGGGGGCAAGCGUUGUUCGGAAUUACUGGGCGUAAAGGGCGCGUAGGCGGCCUGUUAAGUCGAACGUGAAAUCCCCGGGCUCAACCCGGGAACUGCGUCCGAUACUGGCAGGCUUGAAUCCGGGAGAGGGAUGCGGAAUUCCAGGUGUAGAGGUGAAAUUCGUAGAUAUUGGGAAGAACACCGGUGGCGAAGGCGGCGCUCUGGACCGAGACUGACGCUGAGGCGCGAAGGCGUGGGGAGCAAACAGG